GUGCCGGUUGGUAUAAGAAAAAAGGGGAAACUAAGUAUCAGUCAAAAACGGGUUCCUGUCGUUGCGUGCCGAGGAGCAACUCAGCUUCCAAUUCCUGUGAACCGAAAGAUAUGAAUGCGCUUCAACAUUACAACGUCCAGCCUUUUUAACAGUUCCGAACACUCACGAAGACAACCCGCUGAGCGACUGGACCUAAGGGGGACAAGCUGGCAGGUGGAACAUUCCUACGACGUUGGAGAAGCAUAGAUCUGCCUCUUGAUUUGAAUGCUGAUUUAUUGACAAGUACAUCGAGCGAGGAUUCAACCCACCCAACAUGUUGUCCAGUUAUGGAAUGCUAUUGGGGACUAAACCAUCUGGGAAAGUACGGCUCGAUUCGACCAAAUGGACCACGUCAAAAAGAACGCGUUGGCGGGACCCACAUUUAACGUCUUCAGACGUUCCAAUCAUAAUGCAACGAGUGGACAAAAUAUAGGCCUAGUGCUUUCAUGGACGAUCGUCAACUAGAAUGAACUAGGUAGAGCCUAAAUGUACUUCAAACGAAACUAUAGCUUUGGUUUAUAUUGUUUAUGUUGUUUAGGUUUUUCAGUAACCAAAACGGCAGUGGUUUGUUUUUAGUCACUAACUCUGAACCUAACUAAGCACCUUGUGCAAAUAGAACACUGAUAAUAAUCUGUAACUAUGUGUAUCUCGCAUGUCUGAUCUUUUACCCACCGCUAAACUGCGACUCUGCCGGAGCAAAUGUUCCAGGAUGUUCCCCCAGACUCCACGUAGUACUGAAUGAUGUUAACGUUCAAGCCCGUGACUCUGUCAUAUCCUUGUGAGGUAAUUUGCACGUUGACUCAUGCCCUCGAUAAAGAACCAGGAGCAGGGCUGGCCCCUAGUGGACAUGACCAGUCCACCAGUGAAUUAACAAGCUAGGGCCUAAAUUGAGUUUUGAUUGGAUGACGUUUCAACUGUCAACAAACGUAAAUGUGGUAAAAUGCAAUACAGAAAUAUGACUUUUUUAAUUUCCUUUAAUGUUCCAACAUGUUUUUUCUGAGAUGUCAAAUAAAUGACAAAGUUUUA